rnacentral:lncRNA from 1 species
AUACCAAACCCGUGUGUUGGCUGAUUUAUAAUCCACACCACCCAGUUUAGUGUGGAUGAAGUUCCUGGGACCGUCCUUUCUCCUUAAUGAUGUGCCUGCGGACAGGGACACCAUCUUAUUUUGUAUCACCCCAAGAAUUGCAAUGCAUAGUUAAAAAAAUAAGAAGCUGACCCUCCUGACCAAUCGGGGACAAGUGACCGCCACAGGCACCUGGGUGGCCUGGUGGGCUGUCUUCAGUUCUCUGGGCAGCUCCAGCGCCCAGCGAUGAAUGAAUGAACGAAUGAGUAAAUAAAUUAAUGAAUGAGUGAACGAAGGACGUCAACAGGGAGUUUCCCGCUGCCCUGGCCGCUGCGGGAGAGCCUCCGGCGGGUCGUCAAAGGCAGCAGCCCACGCAGCCCGGGCUUCUGUGCCGCGGGAUCUUCCCUGCCGGCGGCCGGUGCGCAGUAGUGCGCCCCGCGCCUAGCUCCCCUGCCCCGCAGUGGUACGCGCCACUCCGCGCUCCCGGGGCGGGUCGACGCGAGGCGUCUUGAAUGGAAGGCGCCGAGGCCGGAAGCGGAAGGGACCACUCGGCAGGACGAGAGGGGGGACACGAAAGCGCCGCCUCUUCAUUGAGGAACCGAAGCAGUGAACAUGGAGUUCCAUGUGCGUCUUAUGUAAAAAGAGCGACGGGCGCCGCCACCAAUGAACGCGCGGCACCCGCAGGCCCGGCCCCCCCGGUAUGCAGAUGAGGCGCAGCCGCGACCAAUGGCGCGCCGGGGGGCGGGCGCGGCGCGCGCGGUCACGUUUUCCACUAUGUGACAGCGGCGGGUCGGGGCGGCGGCGGCGGCGCCGCGGGCUACGCGCUGGUCUCGGCGGCGGCGGCGGCGGGCGCGGGCCGGGCGAGCGCGCGGACUGGCCGGCGGAGGGUCCGGCGACGGCUGGGCGGUGAGUGGCGCGGCGCCCGGGCGGGCGGCGGGUGCGCGGGCAGCCGGCGGCCGCCGCUCGCCUCUUACGUAACCGCCCCGGGCCGGGCGGGCGGGGUCCGGCGCUGCGCUCUGGUGUGAAGGGCCGGGCCGAGCCCUUCACGGCCGGACGGCGGCCUUGGGACGGUUGUGUGCGGGAGACCUCGGGCCUGCUGCGGGCGCCCCUUCCCGCCGCGCAGAGCCAGCUUUGCGGAUCGGGAGAGUGAGGCGCCGGGAAGCCCGACGGCCGGGCUGCGGUCUAGGAACGACGGGGCCCUGCCACCCGUUCCGUGGGACUCUCCGCUCCUGCCGAAGCUCCCCAUCCUGGCUGGGGACGGUCCGUGUUCUUGUGUGCCCCCCACUGUCAAGCCAGGGCUGCCUGGUUCCCCUGUCUUCCUGCUGCGUGCCCAUCAGCAGGCAGCCCAGUAAGCAAGAGUGGUCAGGUGUCAACACGUGGUCUGUGGAGAGAACCGCAGCGCUCUUCCGGUGGUCGCCUGUGCGUGCUCUUUUUAACGUUUGGCA